AACGAACGCUGGCGGCAGGCCUAACACAUGCAAGUCGAACGCUCGUAGCAAUACGAGAGUGGCAGACGGGUGAGUAACACGUGGGAACCUUCCCUAUGGUUCGGAAUAGCUCAGGGAAACUUGGGGUAAUACCGGAUAAGCCCUUCGGGGGAAAGAUUUAUCGCCAUUGGAUGGGCCCGCGUCGGAUUAGCUAGUUGGUGAGGUAACGGCUCACCAAGGCGACGAUCCGUAGCUGGUCUGAGAGGAUGAUCAGCCACACUGGGACUGAGACACGGCCCAGACUCCUACGGGAGGCUG
rnacentral:rRNA from 1 species